rnacentral:rRNA from 1 species
UUCAGAGAUGGAUUGGUGCCUUCGGGAACUCUGAGACAGGUGCUGCAUGGCUGUCGUCAGCUCGUGUUGUGAAAUGUUGGGUUAAGUCCCGCAACGAGCGCAACCCUUAUCCUUUGUUGCCAGCGGUUCGGCCGGGAACUCAAAGGAGACUGCCAGUGAUAAACUGGAGGAAGGUGGGGAUGACGUCAAGUCAUCAUGGCCCUUACGAGUAGGGCUACACACGUGCUACAAUGGCGCAUACAAAGAGAAGCGACCUCGCGAGAGCAAGCGGACCUCAUAAAGUGCGUCGUAGUCCGGAUUGGAGUCUGCAACUCGACUCCAUGAAGUCGGAAUCGCUAGUAAUCGUAGAUCAGAAUGCUACGGUGAAUACGUUCCCGGGUCUUGUACACACCG